AUCUACCGCCAUAUUACCUUGAACAAGCCCAAUCCCAUCUGAUCUUAGAAGCUAAGCAGCGUUGGGCCUUGUUAGUACUUGGAUGGGAGACCACCUAGGAAGACCAGGUGCUGUAGGCC
rnacentral:rRNA from 1 species